GUGACCUUGUUAGAGUAGAUGUGGCCUUGUUGGAAUAGGUGUGACCUUGUUGGAAUAGGUGUGACCUUGUUGGAUUGGGUGUGGCCUUGUUGGAGUAGGUGUGACCUUGUUGGAGUAGGUGUGGCCUUGUUGGAGUUGGUUUGGCCUUGUUGGAGUAGGUGUGGCCUUGUUGGAGUAGGUGUGGCCUUGUUGGAUUGGGUGUGGCCUUGUUGGAGUAGGUGUGGCAUUUUUGGAGUGGGUGUGGCCUUGUUGGAGUAGGUGUGGCCUUGUUGGAGUAGGUGUGGCCCUGUUGGAGUGGGUGUUGCCUUGUUGGAGUGGGUGUGGCCUUUUUGGAGUGGGUGUUUCCUUUUUGGAGUGGUUGUGGUCAUUUUGGAGUGUGUGUGGCCUUGUUGUAUUGGGUGUGGCAUUGUUGGAUUGGGUGUGGCCUUGUUGGAGUGGGUGUGGCCUUGUUGGAGUAAGUGUGGCCUUGUUGGAGUGGGUGUGGCCUUGUUGGAGUAGGUGUGGCCAUGUUGGAGUAGGUGUGACUUUGUUGGAAGAAGUGUGCUACUGUGGUGGCUUUGCAUUGAGAUUUGUAUAUACUCAAACUAUGCUCAGUGGUACAGACAAUCCCUUUCUGCUGUCUGUGCAUCAAGAACUUUGGGCUCCUCCAGCACAAAGUCUGCCUGGAUGCUCCCAUGAUUCCUGCCAUGAUGAAAAUAUACUGAACCUCUGAAACUGUAAGCCAGCUGCAGUGGAAUCUUGUCCUUU
ensembl:lncRNA